rnacentral:lncRNA from 1 species
UGUUCUUUUCUCUCGUGAAGGAUCACGACGUGGCCGAGCUGAUCGCGGUUGGGAGGGAGAAGAUGGGGGCUCUAUCUGCCGGCGGUGCAGGUGUCGCUAUGGUGGCUGGAGGAGGAGGAGGCGACGCUCCUUCGGCGGCUGAGCCAGCGGCGGAGACGAAGAAGGUUGAGGAGGAGAAGGAGGAGUCGGAUGAUGGUGAAGGCAUGAUGAGUCUUUUCGAUUGAGUUUAGUUUAUGACAGAAGGCUUGGAGGAUCUGAUCUUGUCUGAAAUAUUUAUCGCUUUUAAUUUUUGUUUUAAAU